GACAGAGGUGCCAAACGUUAUUCGGAUUCACUGGGCUUAAAGCGUGCGUAGGCGGUCUUGUUAGUCAGGGGUGAAAGCCCUCAGCCUAACUGAGGAAUUGCGCUUGAUACUGCAUGACUAGAGAAUGAUAGAGGUGGGUGGAACUGAUGGUGGAGCGGUGAAAUGCGUUGAUAUCAUCAGGAACACCAGUGGCGAAGGCGACCCACUGGGUCAUUUCUGACGCUGAGGUACGAAAGCUAGGGUAGCGAACGGG
rnacentral:rRNA from 1 species